rnacentral:lncRNA from 1 species
GGAAACUUUGGUCGCGUCCUGUGGCGUUAGCCCGUAACUGAGUCGGAAUCAAAAUGUUGCCUUGUAGGACAUCUGUAAGACCUCUCUACACAUAUGAGGCUGAGCACUCACUGGGAGGAAGAAACACAGCUACAGAAGAUAAACAUGUAUUGGGAGGGAUUUCUGGGUUGUACAGACUUCUGCAAGUGAGAACAUGGAGUGUGACUGUGAAAUAGAAUAAUGAAGUCCUUCAGUGAAGUUGCCAGCAGCAGGAAAAAAUAGAAGAGAAAGUCACAGAGUCAGGCCUUAUUACGCAGCAAAGAACCUGUUUGGUCUGUGGAACCAGGGAAUAAGUGUUGUUAAUCAUCUAAACUCAACACUUUCUGAAAAGACAAGACUGUCCAUCUCUAUUAACAUCGCCGACCUCAAAAUUUACACAAUAUGGUUAUUUUAAUCGGUUGUGCUGGCACUCUGUGCUGUGAAUACGCUCCAGCAUUUCUCUGUCCAAAUCCUCUUGUUGCCCCUGCCAGAUGAGCUGUGGUGCCCCACUUGGUCACUGGAUGGAUGUGCGUCUGCUAGAGACUGGCCAUGUAUCUCACUGCAGAGGUUGGCAUCUUCCCAUGUUGGGUGAAAUGACUUUGUGGGAGUAGCCAGUAUUUGAGGAAAUACCCCUAAAAAUGCCAAGUCCCAGCCAAAGCUCAAAGUGAUGUGUGAAAAACACUCGCAUUAGUGCCACAAAAGUCCAUCAGAGGAUGCGUUUUUGAAAGCAUCCCUGACUGUUGAAGAUUGGAGCCAUGGUUUAUGAUUCUCUAAAAAAACUUCUAGACUUAAAAGGAAUGUUAAGCCUUCAGGAAAGUCAGUGAAAAGGGCAAUGUCAUCUGAAUGCCCUGUUUGCAGCAUAUCAUCUUUCAGAGCAAUCAAUCACUCAUUUUGGAGCAGAGCUGUCCCUAAGCAGCGGAAGGUAACACACAAAGGGACAUAACGCAAGCCUGGCUUUCAGUUGGAGUGAUUUACUGUUGUCAUAAAUGUGUUUUCAGUCGCGAAGUGCCCAGAUUUCAACAUCAUCAUCCAAGUAUAACCACCCAACAAGUGCUGUCCACUUCCGAGCUGCAGAUCUCUUAGAUACACGUCCCAAGAACACAUCCAAUUUUGCAGCAAUGCUGCAUUGCCAUGCUGUUUUUAAUAAUUGCUGAACAAUAGUUUCGUGUCCUUAAUUAAGGUGGCAGCUGAUAACAUAGCAAUGGAAUGCAAAAUACUGGUAAAAAUGCAAUUCCCACACACGAGAAGGGUGUAUUUGUAAGAAGGGGUGAACAGAACAGGUGACCAAAAUUGACCAACUGAGUCAUUCACCCUAUAUAAGUGAGGGAUCACCUGAAGAGGACCCUGCCUGUUGUCCCUGUGAUCUAAGGCCUGGUUCCAGUGACUCCUGAAUCCAGGUCUGGUUUGCUGUGGAGUUCAGCCCAGGACUUCUGGGUGCCUGCCCUGCAGCUGCUGGAGCGGUGUGAAGUGGGGAAAUUCAAGGUUUCUCAUGGUCAGUAUGAUACUAAGACCCACACAAAGGAAGCACCAACUUCUUUCAUCUUUUCCGGCUAGAGGACAACACAAGGAAUGAAAACAUUGGAUAGAAUGUCUGAAAACAUUACACAGAAUUUUCUACUGGCUUUUUUGAUAACCUGAAUCAGGAUGACCAGUAAAGGAACUGGGAUUUGCUUGGAGCCAACAGACAAAUCUAGAACAACUCAUCAAGCUUGAAAUUAAAAGAUUUACAACCAUCACUCCCAGCAUUUUGACAGUCAUUCUAGCAAAUGAAUGACUGUAGUACUUAUUUCUGGGAGACAAAGGGGGCACAGUCUGGAACAUGUCAGAAGAGGUCCAGUUUCAUUUUAAAAAUUUCUGAAUUCAAAACCAAGCUCAUUUUGACUUGGAAAGAAACAGCUCUCUCAAAAUAUUUUGCCUGGUUCCAAUCACACUUAAUCACUGGUUGCCACAGAAAUCUUCCUCAGGGGGAGUGUUGGAGCUUUCUUUGCUUGAAAUGCUGUUGUCCCUCUCUUGCACUGCUCAACAGCACACAGACCAUUUAAAAUUUAUUUCUAAAACAAGAUUUGCUUUGUUUGGAUUCCUCCACUGACUAAAUUCAGACAUCACAGAAGCUGAUGCAACUGGGCUGACUCAUGACACCACUGAAUUUUUUCAAAGUCUAUUAUUAUAAAGUAAGAUCUACAUCAGUUUU